UUAUUAGAAUGUGAAGACGUCUACCCAGCGGUCGAUUUAGGCACCACUGGCCUCCUUGAAGCCCUUGGGUUCAGCGGGAGCAGUGGUAAAGCAAACAGGUCCGCAAUAGACAUUAGUAAGAGGCGAUUGGAGGAUUGGUGGAAGAAAAGUAGGGAAACGACAAAAGACGGAGACGUACAAAAGCACAAUUCGCAAUGGGUGAUCAGAAAGUUUGGACGCGGUAGUUCAUAGUGUUUUUUUUCCUUUUUUCAUUGAUUAACCUAGGUAGGAUAUUAGGCAGCAUAGUAGCAAGAGCUUGGUGGCGCAACCCACCGCCCCGUUCCAAAGGGGACGCUCAUAACAUCCAUCCAUCCAUCCAUCGACGCGCCGCCUAUCCAGCGCUGGUUCCCCAUUGUACACAGAACACAAGGCACCCACCACCAUAGAGUUAGUAGAACAACUCUAGAGGAAAAGCUGGGCCGGAAAAGUGGGAACCUCUAGGGCGCCGCCCUGUUGCUACUGGUCAAUGUGGCCAGCGGAAAGAGCUGAAAACAAGUACAGGUCACCGUAUGCUUUGUCAUCUAAAAACGCAUACCUGAGGUUUUAUGAAGGUGGUGGGUUAAUAUUAAGUUUACAGAAAGCGAUCACUAAGUCCGUGACUUAUGUAAAUCACGAACUACGCAUUCAUUUAAUAAAGGAUGACGCGAAUUUCGGUUUCGAAUCUGUUUUUUGGAUUCGUAGUAGUUUCGUACAGUUUAGGUUUGACAUGCGAUCGCGCGUCGACAUCGGACGCUAUGGCACACUCGUGCCUUCUGUGCCACCGAAGCCCCGAAGUGCCCAGACAUAUACCUUCACAUGUAAGUAAACGAAUGUAUCUCCUUGUUGAGAAUAUCACGCGAGUAGGCAGCUCUUGUGGGGCAUCACAAUCGUUUGAGAAGCGUCACAGUAGAGCAUUUUUCUACAUGCGGAGCGGCGUUUUUAUUUGCAGGUUUCCCUUCAGUAGGAAAUUGCUGGACAGGCGGACCAGCGCACCGGAAUUGUACUGGCGAAGCCACAAGCAACUCAGAAUCUGUUUAAUUGUUGCACUUUGAACAAUCAUGCUUCUACAAAGGCCACAGCAGAAAAACAGCCUGAUGCCGAGUAUUUCUGUGCCACGAAGUAAUCAAGAGGCGAGUGCCUAAUGCGGACGAAAUCGAGUGCAUCGAGACUUAGAACGACAGAAAGAUAUGCAAUGGCAAGCCCUUCCGUGUGUUCCAAAGGUAAAAUUUAAGCUCGAAAUUAAAGAAGACAUUUCUAGUCAGAAACAAGCAAAAAUGGUGAAUGCAAAGUAUCAGAAGCCCAAGGUACAGAAAUUAUGAGAAGUGUCGAAUGAUUUUAAGGAAAGAAUGGUAUUUGAAGAUGCAAGAUUCUUUAGUGGAAAUCAAGCAAGUCAGUAUAGGUAGAAUACUCUGAGAAAUUAUGCGAGUAAUGGGAUAGCACACAAUGGGUCAGGAAAUGCGUUGUUUUUCUGAAAAACUAAAGCUGAUGACUGUCAUAUCAUGAGUCACUUUAGCAUCAUGAGACUGCUGUUUGAUAAAUUCAGAAACAAACCAAAAAGCAAGCCAUGCAAAAAUUUAAAAAAAAAACUAUUCAAUGAUGCUCUCUCCACACUGGGAUAAAUAAUAAGAAACGGAUCACGUCUAAUGUGGACAUAUCAGACACCUUGUGAAACACUAAAGGAAAAAUUCAGUUUCGAGCUAUGGCACUUGCCGCAUAGAUGUGGGGGGCCUUGUACCAAUAGUAAUAGUUACCACUGCAUCUAGAAAUUUGAAGCAUUCAUGCAGACAAGGAUGAUUCUUUAUAUUUUUGGCUACCACUUCAAAUGCCUCCACUAAGUGUUACAAUGCUGCACGCAGCCAUACUAAGGAUCUCACAGCAACACUUGCAGGUAAACAGCAAAAGCAGUCAAAGUGCUGGUGUAUUCUGGACACUGUCUUUGAAAACUUUUAGGCAAGAACAGUGCAAGAAACAGACAUAAGAACUGCAUUUAUUUCUAUAAUUCCCCAUUUGAAUGCCCUUUUCUUUUUCCUUCGACAAUGCCUUCGCCUAGCCACAGCAGCUCCCUCAUACAGACUCCGCAAGCCAAGAGGCCGUGGAGACAAAUGCAGGUAAGAGGCAAGAAGCAAUAGCACUGGUAUCGACAUUCAUCUAAUUUCUUUCUUUUUCUUUCGUUUAGACAGCCAGCACACCUCGAACAGCCACCUUGACUGCGGGUGUGUCACCCUAGUCGCCAAGGAAACAUUUGAGGGAAAGCAACAGGCAAUGUGAACAGCCACUUCUCCAUGUAAACGAUACUCUUUCUCUCGGAUGACUCCUACGUUCGCCACACCAGCACACUUGUGCACAAAGAUGCCGCGGAGGCACGUGCAGGUCAGAGGCAAGAAGCAGUGGCACUGGUGUCGACAUUCGCCCAAUUUCUUUUUCUUACACUGAGGCAGCCAGCACACCUCGAACAGCCACCUUAAGUGCGGGUGUGUUAGUAGAUUCCUGUUGUACAUAUGCUCAUAAUAAACUUCAGUAAACUUGAACUUGAUAAUAAACUUGAAGGCAAAUGGGA